GGGACACGUGGUAUCCUGUCUGAAUAUGGGGGGACCAUCCUCCAAGGCUAAAUACUCCUGACUGACCGAUAGUGAACCAGUACCGUGAGGGAAAGGCGAAAAGAACCCCGGCGAGGGGAGUGAAAAAGAACCUGAAACCGUGUACGUACAAGCAGUGGGAGCACGCUUAGGCGUGUGACUGCGUACCUUUUGUAUAAUGGGUCAGCGACUUAUAUUCUGUAGCAAGGUUAACCGAAUAGGGGAGCCGAAGGGAAACCGAGUCUUAACUGGGCGUUAAGUUGCAGGGUAUAGACCCGAAACCCGGUGAUCUAGCCAUGGGCAGGUUGAAGGUUGGGUAACACUAACUGGAGGACCGAACCGACUAAUGUUGAAAAAUUAGCGGAUGACUUGUGGCUGGGGGUGAAAGGCCAAUCAAACCGGGAGAUAGCUGGUUCUCCCCGAAAGCUAUUUAGGUAGCGC
rnacentral:rRNA from 1 species